AACGAACGCUGGCGGCAUGCCUAACACAUGCAAGUCGAACGAGACCUUCGGGUCUAGUGGCGCACGGGUGCGUAACGCGUGGGAACCUGCCCUUAGGUUCGGAAUAACUCCCCGAAAGGGGUGCUAAUACCGGCUAAUGUCUUCGGACCAAAGAUUUAUCGCCUUUGGAUGGGCCCGCGUUGGAUUAGCUAGUUGGUAGGGUAAAAGCCUACCAAGGCGACGAUCCAUAGCUGGUCUGAGAGGAUGAUCAGCCACACUGGGACUGAGACACGGCCCAGACUCCUACGGGAGGCAGCAGUGGGGAAUAUUGGACAAUGGGCGGAAGCCUGAUCCAGCAAGGCCGGGUGAGUGAUGAAGGCCUUAGGGUUGUAAAGCUCUUUUACCCGGGAUGAUAAUGACGGUACCGGGAGAAUAAGCGCCGGCUAACUCCGUG
rnacentral:rRNA from 1 species